ACUCAAAUGAAUUGACGGGGGCCCGCACAAGCGGUGGAGCAUGUGGUUUAAUUCGAUGCAACGCGAACAACCUUACCUACCCUUGAAUCCCUGGAAUUUGGCAGAGAUGCCGAAGUGCCGCAAGGAACCAGGAGACAGGUGCUGCAUGGCUGUCGUCAGCUCGUGUCGUGAGAUGUUGGGUUAAGUCCCGUAACGAGCGCAACCCUUAUCCUUAGUUGCUAGCAGGUAAAGCUGAGAACUCUAGGGAGACUGCCAGUGAUAAACUGGAGGAAGGCAGGGACGACGUCAAGUCAUCAUGGCCCUUACGGGUAGGGCUACACACGUGCUACAAUGGCCGGUACAAAAGGCUGCGAAGUCGCGAGAUGGAGCUAAUCCUAUAAAGCCGGUCUUAGUCCGGAUUGGAGUCUGCAACUCGACUCCAUGAAGCUGGAAUCGCUAGUAAUCGUGGAUCAGCACGCCACGGUGAAUACGUUCCCGGGCCUUGUACACACCGCCCGU
rnacentral:rRNA from 1 species